UGUGUUGUCUUUGAAUUGGAAAGCCAGAGCUUUUCGCAAAAUAAUUCAGAAGGUUUGCUGACCCUUGAACUUUUCCUGAUGACUCCUUCCCUCUGAACUUCCACUUGUUAAAGUUGC
ensembl:misc_RNA predicted gene, 27803